ensembl:lncRNA
AUCCAAGAAUGAUGCAGCAAAACAUGAUUUCAUUAAUACUAUGCACUCCUCUUCCUUCUUCCCCACUAUCAACACAUUCACCAGAGUCACACAGACCUCCAGCUCCAUCAUCGAUAACUUCAUUACCAACAUUCGGAACACCAGAUGCCGGACCACUGCCCAAAAUCCCUGGAUAACUAAGGGAAUUGUAAAAUCCAUCAAACAUAAGAAUAAACUUUAUAAGUGCUACCUCACAAAUCCAAGUACUGAAACUAAAAAGAAAUACUCUACUUAUAGAAACAAGCUCACUCACAUAAUUAGAAAGAGUAAGAGUAACCAUUACACUGAACUUCUCAAUUCAUCACGGGGUGACUGCAAGAGGAUGUGGAAAGUCUUAAGUGGAGUCCUAAACAAGGGUUGUAAACCUAUUGUUCUUCCAGUCACUGGAGACAUCGAAGAAGACCUCCCUACAAAUUUUAACAACUACUUUGUUUCUAUUGGGGAAAAUCUCGCUGCCACCAUCAGACAACCCCAGGGAAAGAAAAUCAAUAUUGAACUGGUACAUAUCAAUAUCGACAAUCAGGAGAUCAUAAGGCACCAACACCGAACCAGGAACAAACACCUGAUAACGGUUAAACAACGGCGUUUACAUUGUACGGGUAUGAGUGUUGCCUGCAAGGGGCCACAGAUCUGGAACAGACUUGAUGAGGAUCUAAAGAAGCUGUGCUGUGUGUCCGCUUUUAAAAAAAAACCUAAAAGCAUAUUUACUGGCUACCUAUUUAUAAUGUACCCUAACAAUAUGAUGGAUGUACUGGGAUUAUUACUGUAUGAUUGAUUGUAUGUAUUUGUAUGUUUGUUUUGUCGGCACUGUUAAGUUAAAUGUACUGUAUGAUUGAUUGUAUGUAUUUGUAUGCUUGAUUGUCUGCACUAUUUAUGUUUUCUUGCAUGGUACCACAUUGUGCAUCGCUAAAUUGAUUGAUAUUGCUUUCAUUAACCUUGGGCCCCCGCCCAAAAGCUUUCAAUAGCUUAUUUUGGGGGACCCAUUCAUGCAUGCAUGCAUGUAUGUAUGUAUGUAUGAAUAAAUAAACUUGAAACUUGAAACUUGAAUAAGGUUAUCAAGAACCUUUCAACAUAGAUUAAAUUGAAUGUUAUCUGAAAAUUAAAAGUUUCAUUAUAUAAUCAACAACAUGUCAAAUGAAUAGCAACUAUCCUUCUUCAGGCAUGUUUCAGUUGAACAUCAUGUUACGUGUCUCAUUUGUGUCAGGUGAGAUUACAUUUUGCUUGCUAUCAACUCAUAUUGG